AAUAAGUGCAGCCAUGAGUUUCCGUGCCCAACUUUGAUCGUCCGUCUUAUUUGAAAUUUUUUUAUAAUUAGUAUUUUUGUUGUUAUGAGAUGAUAAAAUAUGAAUAGUACUUUACUCGUGACUUAUGUUUUUAAAUUUUUUUUAAAUUUUUUUAAAUAAGACGAACGGUCAAAGUUGGGCGCGAAAAACCAUAGCUGCACUUAUU
rnacentral:pre_miRNA from 1 species